AGAGUUUGAUCCUGGCUCAGAUUGAACGCUGGCGGAAUGCUUUACACAUGCAAGUCGAACGGCAGCACGGGAGCUUGCUCCUGGUGGCGAGUGGCGAACGGGUGAGUAAUGCGUCGGAACGUACCGAGUAAUGGGGGAUAACGCAGCGAAAGUUGUGCUAAUACCGCAUACGCCCUGAGGGGGAAAGCGGGGGAUCGUAAGACCUCGCGUUAUUCGAGCGGCCGACGUCUGAUUAGCUAGUUGGUGGGGUAAAGGCCUACCAAGGCGACGAUCAGUAGCGGGUCUGAGAGGAUGAUCCGCCACACUGGGACUGAGACACGGCCCAGACUCCUACGGGAGGCAGCAGUGGGGAAUUUUGGACAAUGGGGGCAACCCUGAUCCAGCCAUUCCGCGUGAGUGAAGAAGGCCUUCGGGUUGUAAAGCUCUUUCAGCUGGAACGAAACGGUACGCUCUAACAUCGUGUGCUAAUGACGGUACCAGCA
rnacentral:rRNA from 1 species